rnacentral:snRNA from 1 species
GGAUGUGAGGGUGAUCUGGCUGCGAUAUCUGUCACCCCCUUGCCAGGGUUGAUUCAGCUGAUCUGGCUGGCUAGGCAGGUGUCCCCUUCUUCCUUUACCAUUCCAUGUGAGUCCCUCCCCAAACCUGCACCUUGGUCGAAGAGGACAGCUUUCCCAGAAUAGCGACAGACGGGAAGGGUAUAGUACCUGUGCUCCCCUGCUAGAACCUCCAAACAAGCUCUCAGGGUCCAUACUUCAUCUAAAGAAGUGAGAUCAGGGGGUCAGGUGGUGGCACUC